GACGUAGGGCGCGAGCGUUGUCCGGAUUUAUUGGGCGUAAAGAGCUCGUAGGCGGCUUGUCGCGUCGUCUGUGAAAUCCCGCGGCUCAACCGCGGGUCUGCAGUCGAUACGGGCAGGCUAGAGUUCGGUAGGGGAGACUGGAAUUCCUGGUGUAGCGGUGAAAUGCGCAGAUAUCAGGAGGAACACCGGUGGCGAAGGCGGUUCUCUGGGCAUUACCUGACGCUGAGGAGCGAAAGUGUGGGGAGCGAACAGG
rnacentral:rRNA from 1 species